rnacentral:rRNA from 1 species
UACGGAGGGUGCAAGCAUUAAUCGGAAUUAUUGGGCGUACAGGGUGCGUAGGCUGUGCGGUAAGUCACCUGUGAAAUCUCCGAGCUCAACUCGGAGCCUGCAGGCGAAACUGCCGUGCUGGAGUAUGGGAGAGGUGCGUGGAAUUCCCGGUGUAGCGGUGAAAUGCGUAGAUUUCGGGAGGAACACCUGUGGCGAAAGCGGCGCACUGGACCAUAACUGACGCUGAGGCGCGAAAGCUAGGGGUGCAAACGGG